rnacentral:piRNA from 1 species
GAGGGACAACAGGACCAGGGCGGCC